rnacentral:rRNA from 1 species
CCUACGGGGGGCUGCAGUGGGGAAUAUUGGACAAUGGGCGAAAGCCUGAUCCAGCGACGCCGCGUGUCGGAAGGAGUCCUUCGGGAUGUAAACGACUUUUGGUGGAGACGAAUAAGCAGCUCAGGGAAUGGGGCUGUGAUGACGGUAUCCAUGGAAUAAGCCCCGGCUAACUACGUGCCAGCAGCCGCGGUAAGACGUAGGGGGCAAGCGUUACCCGGAAUUACUGGGCGUAAAGGGAGCGUAGGCGGGAGGUCAAGUCCGGUGUGAAAGACCCUGGCUCAACCAGGGAUGAGGGCUGGAAACUGACAAUCUUGAGUACAGCAGAGGAAGAGGGAAUUACCGGUGUAGGGGUGAAAUCCGUAGAGACCGGUAAGAAGGCCAGUGGCGAAGGCGCUUUUCUGGGCUGUUACUGACGCUGAGGCUCGAAAGCCAGGGGAGCAAACCGGCUUAGAUACCCCAGUAGUC